UACGUAGGGGGCGAGCGUUGUCCGGAAUCAUUGGGCGUAAAGCGCGUGUAGGCGGCUCGGUAAGUCUGCUGUGAAAGUCCAGGGCUCAACCCCUGGGAUGCCGGUGGAUACUGUCGAGCUCGAGUCCGGAAGAGGCGAGUGGAAUUCCUGGUGUAGCGGUGAAAUGCGCAGAUAUCAGGAGGAACACCAAUGGCGAAGGCAGCUCGCUGGGACGUGACUGACGCUGAGACGCGAAAGCGUGGGGAGCAAACAGG
rnacentral:rRNA from 1 species